UAAAAAUUACACAAGUUAUUCCUUUUUUAUCCUGUUGAUUCUGGAUAAUUAUUUACAUAUGACAACAUAUUUCUUGAUGCUAAGAGCGUUUCUAUUGAAUCAAUAUAUUUAACAGUUUUCACAUUAUGUGGAUUUCAGCAAAAUCGUUAACCACAAAUCUUUAGAUAAGCUUCUUUUUGUUUGUUUUUACAUCAUACAGUAGCAUCAUAUGUUGCUGUUCAAAUCUUUGUUUAUAUGUGCUUAAUUUGUAUUAUUAAUUUUUUGUUAGCCUUUGUAAUUUUAAACAAGUAUUUAUAAUUACCACUUCAUUUUUAGUGAGUAUACUUUUUCAGGGAAACCACCUACAUAGUUGUUUUAAUAAAGUGUCAUAAGAUAAAGUUUAGGCUUUUGAUUGUUGUAAUAUAUUAUUUAAAGAAAAUUAUGGAACUUUUCUAUGAUCAUUAUGAUCAUGUUAAAAGUUUAAACUUGAAAGGAUAAAGUAUAACUUAACAGCAUAGAGUUAAACUUAAAAAUCCAGUUGCUAAUGUUUCAAUGUUGGAUUUUUUUGAGAGUUCUGAAAAAGACAUCUGCAUAUAAAGAACAGUUGGUUAAGGUUUGUAUUAUCUCCCAGACUGUCAAACUGUAGUAGUUGCAGAACACUUGCUUUGUAAGGGAGUACAAAGCCACCAUUUAUCUGAAAAAAAUGUGCUCAACUUGUUUCUCCAUGUUUAUCAAGACUUGUGUUAAGAAGUUAUAGAAUUGAAAAACACUUGGUGGAUAUAUUAAAAAAUGAAAAUAAGUAUUUUGAAAUUGCAAUAAAUUCAUGCAAAAAACUUUUUUGAAUGUUUUU